rnacentral:rRNA from 1 species
AUUGAACGCUGGCGGCAUGCUUUACACAUGCAAGUCGAACGGUAACAGGCCUUCGGGUGCUGACGAGUGGCGAACGGGUGCGUAAUGCAUCGGAACGUACCCAGAGGUGGGGGAUAACGCAGCGCAAGCUGUGCUAAUACCGCAUGUGAUCUGAGGAUGAAAGCGGGGGACCGCGCAGCAAUGUUUGGCCUCGCGCCUUUGGAGCGGCCGAUGUCGGAUUAGCUAGUUGGUGGGGUAAAGGCCUACCAAGGCGACGAUCCGUAGCUGGUCUGAGAGGACGACCAGCCACACUGGGACUGAGACACGGCCCAGACUCCUACGGGAGGCAGCAGUGGGGAAUUUUGGACAAUGGGCGCAAGCCUGAUCCAGCAAUGCCGCGUGAGGGAAGAAGGCCUUCGGGUUGUAAAACGCUUUUGGCAGGAACGAAACGGUGUCCGCUAAUACCGGGCGCUAAUGACGGUACCUGCAGAAUAAGCACCGGCUAACUACGUG